rnacentral:rRNA from 1 species
GACGAACGCUGGCGGCGUGCUUAACACAUGCAAGUCGAACGGAAAGGCCCUGCGUUUGUGGGGUGAUCGAGUGGCGAACGGGUGAGUAACACGUGAGUAACCUGCCCUUGACUUUGGGAUAACUUCAGGAAACUGGGGCUAAUACCGGAUAGGAGCUCCUGCUGGAGGGUGGGGGUUGGAAAGUUUCGGCGGUUGGGGAUGGACGCGCGGCUUAUCAGCUUGUUGGUGGGGUAGUGGCAUACCAAGGAUUUGACUGGUAGCCGGCCGGAGAGGGUGACCGGCCACAUUGGGCCUGAGAUACGGCCCAGUCUCCUACGGUGGGCAGCAGUGGGGAAUCUUGCCCAAUGGGCCGGAGCCUGUUGCAGCAACCCCGCGUUCGGGAUGCCGUCCUUCGGGUUGUAAACCGCUUUCGCCUGUGACGAAGCGUGAGUGACGGUAAUGGGUAAAGAAGCACCGGCUAACUACGUG